GGGGUCCUCGGUCGGAGGACCUCGCGAGGAGGUAAACAAGCGAUGUUGGGUUAAUUAACGAUCAUCCAUCGAUUUUAGCGCAAUUAAGUUUGCGUGUGAUCGCGAUGGCAGAAGAUAAUGAGCUGGAAAAGCGUGCAGUGGAGGAGCUCCUCAGGGAGACUGACAGAGCCCGCGUGAGAGCAGAGACCAUGGGCCCUGCAGGAUGUGAAUGACCAAAACUCCAAUAUAUCCCAUUUAAAACUUUACUUUAGAUCCUGACACUUGCAGUGGGCGUUACAUUGAUUUGGUUGCUGCUUUUAACAAAGCUCCAAUUUGUUUUUCACCUCCUAAGUUAUGAGUAUUAAAAAAUGCUGGAGAAAUACUGUAGACUAUAAAAGAGUGUACUCAGAGGACAUGUACCUCAUUUUGUAGGAGGAAGCAUGGAUUCAUUACAUACAAUAAAGUUAUUGUACUAAAAAAAGAAUAUCUGAUACUGAUAGGAGGACAGAUGGAAGGCACUGAUUGAUUUUUCAUUGAAUGUGUUUAGAUUUAUGGUCCCAUGCUGCUCUGAGCGAUUUAGAUCAAUGGGAAAGGCGUCAGUAAAACGGGGUUGGAAGCUGUGGUCGACUGCACACAUUUGAUAAAAGUGAUGGUCGUGCAUCAGUGCACCCAGUAAAAGUAAAGAGCAACUCCUUCUCAGAUGAAUGAGGAUGUCAGUGCAGG
ensembl:lncRNA